rnacentral:rRNA from 1 species
GUACACUCCUGCGGGAGGCAGCAGUGGGGAAUUUUGGACAAUGGGCGAAAGCCUGAUCCAGCAAUGCCGCGUGCAGGAUGAAGGCCUUCGGGUUGUAAACUGCUUUUGUACGGAACGAAAAAGCUCCUUCUAAUACCGGGGGCCCAUGACGGUACCGUAAGAAUAAGCACCGGCUAACUACGUGCCAGAAGCCGCUGUAAUACGUAGGGUGCGAGCGUUAAUCGGAAUUACUGGGCGUAAAGCGUGCGCAGGCGGUUAUGUAAGACAGAUGUGAAAUCCCCGGGCUCAACCUGGGAACUGCAUUUGUGACUGCAUGGCUAGAGUACGGUAGAGGGUGAUGGAAUUCCGCGUGUAGCAGUGAAAUGCGUAGAUAUGCGGAGGAACACCGAUGGCGAAGGCAAUCCCCUGGACCUGUACUGACGCUCAUGCACGAAAGCGUGGGGAGCAAACAGGAUUAGAAACCCUAGUAGUCCC